rnacentral:rRNA from 1 species
AUGCAAGUCGAACGGUCUUUUCGGAGAUAGUGGCGGACGGGUGAGUAACGCGUGAGAAUCUGCCUUCAGGUCGGGGACAACCACUGGAAACGGUGGCUAAUACCGGAUAAGCCGAGAGGUGAAAGGCUAGCUGCCUGGAGAUGAGCUCGCGUCUGAUUAGCUAGUUGGUAGGGUAAGAGCCUACCAAGGCGACGAUCAGUAGCUGGUCUGAGAGGAUGACCAGCCACACUGGGACUGAGACACGGCCCAGACUCCUACGGGAGGCAGCAGUGGGGAAUUUUCCGCAAUGGGCGAAAGCCUGACGGAGCAAUACCGCGUGAGGGAGGAAGGCUCUUGGGUUGUAAACCUCUUUUCUCAGGGAAGAAAAUUGACGGUACCUGAGGAAUAAGCAUCGGCUAACUCCGUGCCAGCAGCCGCGGUAAUACGGAGGAUGCAAGCGUUAUCCGGAAUGAUUGGGCGUAAAGGGUCUGCAGGUGGCCGUGUAAGUCUGCUGUUAAAGAAUCUGGCUUAACCAGAUAAAAGCAGUGGAAACUACAGGGCUAGAGUGCGUUCGGGGUAGAGGGAAUUCCUGGUGUAGCGGUGAAAUGCGUAGAUAUCAGGAAGAACACCAGUGGCGAAAGCGCUCUACUAGGCCGCAACUGACACUGAGGGACGAAAGCUAGGGGAGCGAAUGGGAUUAGAUACCCCAGUAGUCCUAGCCGUAAACGAUGGAUACUAGGCGUGGCUUGUAUCGACCCGAGCCGUGCCGGAGCUAACGCGUUAAGUAUCCCGCCUGGGGAGUACGCACGCAAGUGUGAAACUCAAAUGAA